rnacentral:lncRNA from 1 species
CAACUCAUGAGGGAAAGAAAACAGAAGGAUGAUUAGUGACUGCUUUAAUUUUCUGUUACUAUGCUCUGCUAAGGGCAAGCAGAAAGGAAAACCAACAGAAAUUGAAAUUCAGGACUUUGGGAAAGUUUCAGAAGUAAAGGUGUUGAGGUGUGGGGUGGAUUAGUCGCGAGUAUGGCAAAUUGUUAAAAUGGGACUCAUUUUCUGCCGAGGUCUCAACAGAUGGAGAAAAAAAUCAUAAAACUGAAAGAAUUCUUGCCAUCUAAAAGACAAAACAAACUGACAAUGAAAACAACAAGGUUUCAGCGAAACACCCAUCUAAUCAGUACUAAAGUAUCAAGCACAAAGAGGCCAGGACAGAACUUUUUUUGCAGAGAGUUACGAGAACUUUGGAGAGAGAGUGGUGUAGUGUUUCUCCUCUCUAUUCUAGGCCUCCAUGGAGCUGAAUUUGAAUUUGAGUUUGGUCUCAGCGGAAUGUGCACUAGGGUUGGGCUCAUUCUGGAGAAGUCUAAAACUUUCUGCCCUGGGAGUAACGGGGAACAGAAGUUUCUCUCCUAUAGUUCAUAUGUGGGCCUCCUGGGUGAGCAAGUCCCAGCCUGGAAGCCUGGAUCAUUUUAUAGGGAACUUCCAUCAAGAUUGUUUCUUGACAUAGGCAGUACAACAGAGACUGUGCUUGUCCCCAUGGAAGCAGAAGCUGAGGAUUUUCUUUGUUUAUGUCACCUCUUCUUUGAAUAUUUUUUAUUAUUUUUUUUAAGAAUGAUUUAUUUUUUCCAUUAUCGCUGAUUUAUAGUGUUCUGUCAAUAUUCUACUGCAGUGAGGUGACCCAGUCACAUAUACAUGUACACAUUAUUUUUUCUCACAUUGUCAUGCUCCAUCACAAGUGACCAGACAUAGUUCACAGUGUGAUGUAGCAAGAUUUCAUUGCUUAUCCAUUCCAAGGCAAUAGUUUGCAUCUAUUAACCCCAAAUUCCCAGUCCCUCCCACUCCUUUCCCCUCCCUCUUGGCAACCACAAGUCUGUUCUCCAUGUUAAUGAUUUUUUUUCCAUGCAAAGGUUCAUUUUUGCCAUAUAUUAGAUUCCAGAUAUAAGUGAAAUCAUAUGGUAUUUGCCUUUCCCUUUCUGACUUACUUCACUCUGUAUGAGAGUCUCUAGUUCCAUCCAUGUUGCUGCAAAUGGCAUUAUUUUGUUCUUUUUUAUGGCUGAGUAGUAGUCCAUUGUGUAUAUAUACCACUUCUUCCUAAUCCAAUCAUCUGUCAAUGGACAUUUAGGUUGUUUUCAUGUCUUGGCUAUUGUGAAUAGUGCUGCAAUGAAUAUGCAGGUGCAUGUAUCUUUUUUAAGGAAAGUUUUGUCCAGAUAUAUGUCCAAGAGUGGGAUUGCUGGGUCAUGUGGUAGUUCUGUGUAUAGUUUUCUAAGCUACCUCCAUACUGUUCUCCAUAGUGGUUGUACCAAUUUACAUUCCCACCAACAGUGCAGCAUUUGCUAUUUGUGGACUUAUUAAUCAUGGCCAUUCUGACUGCCUUGAGGUGGUACCUCAUGAUAAUUUUGAUUUGCAUUUCUCUAAUAAUCAGUGAUGUUGAGCAUUUUUUCAUGUGCUUGUUGGCCAUCUGAACAUCUUCCUUGGAGAAAUGUCUAUUCAGGUCUUUUGCCCAUUUUUCCAUUGGGUUGUUGCUGGCUUUUUUGAUGUUGAGUUGUAUGAAUUGUUUGUAUGUUCUAGAGAUUAAGCCCUUGUCAGUUGAAUCAUUUGAAACUAUUUUCUCCCAUUCUGUAAGUUGUCUUUUUGGUUUUUUUUAUGGUAUCCUUUGCUGUGCAAAAACUUGUCAGUUUGAUUAGGUCCCAUUGGCUUAUUUUAUUUUGUUUCUGUUACUUUGGGAGACUGACCUGAGAAAACAUUUGGCAGGUUGAUGCAGAGAAUGUUUUGCCUAUGUUCUCUUCCAGGAGUUUGAUGGUGUCUUGUCUGAUAUUUAAGUCUUUAAGCCAUUUUGAGUUUAUUUUUGUACAUGGUGUGAGGGUGUGUUCCAGUUUCGUUGAUUUACAUGCAGCUGUUCAGUUUUCCCAGCACCACUUCCUAAAAAGACUGUCUUUUUCCCAUUUUAUAUUCUUGCCUCCCUUGUCAAAAAUUUAUUGACCAUAGGUGUCUGCGUUUAUUUUUUUUUUAAUGUCCAGCCAGAGGGAAGUCAGCUACACUCAGAUGUUCCCACUGAGGGAUCUCAUAUGAACUAACCUUGGGGAGAGUCAAUUUUCAGCAUUUUUCAAGUCCAGGUAACAUGAAAGUUUGAUGAUGUCAGAACCUCUUUAAUAAAAUAUUUCUUUUCCUUCCUCACUUUUUCUUCUAUCAUCCCCAUCUCUGGAGGAAUAAAGAAUGAGAGGCAGGAAGCUGGUGGGAGGGAGCGGGAGAUGGGCAAGCCUGGGAGAUAGAGAAGAAGGUCAGUAGAUCCCUCUUUUCCAUACUCAGGUAACUGGAGAUUCCUAUUGAAGGGAUGCAGAGCAGGGGAAAAAAGACCAAACUUUAAAGUCAGAAAAAAAUCUUUGAUUAUUAAAUUUUAUGAACAUUUCCAUUACUGAAUCAGGUUUACAAGUGACUUGAUAAUAUAUUUUUUCAAUUAUGAAAUAUCCUACAUAUCCAGAAGAAGGUAUAAACAAUAUGUGUGAUAUAUUAUAUAUAUAUAUAUAUAUGAAUUUAUAUAAUACUUAUAAAACAAACAUUAUGUAACCAAUACCCAAGUUAAAAAAUACAUUUUCAGACCUCUUAAUGUGUGUCCUCACUAUCAUCUCUCUCUUAUACCAACCUCUUGACUUUUGUGGUAAUAAUUUUUCUAAUUUUCUCUUUCAUUUUGCCAUGAUUUAGUUGUCCUUUUUAUUCAUGAUAAAUAUUUGUUUCCAGCAUUUUUUUUUAAGGAGUUUGCUGUGAACAUUCUUGUGUCUCUGAGUGGACAUGUACAUUGGUUUCUCUAAGGAUUAUAUUUAGUAUAGAAAGUCAGAGUCAUAGAAGAUGCAUUACUGUGCUAGAAUUUUACCAAUUUAGACCCACUUCUGCCUAGUCCAUGAAAUUUCCUAUUGUUCCAUGUGCUCACCAACACUGAUUAUUAUCUGCUUUUUUGAUUUUUUCCCAAUGUAGUAGAUAUAAAAUGGCAUUAUGGUUUAAUUAAAAAAAAAGUUCUCUGAUCAGCAGUGAAAUUUAUCACCUUUUCUUACGUUUAUUAACCUUUUGAAUUUUGAAUUUCCUCUUUUCUUUUCUUCUUCCUCUUUUUUUUUUUUAUGGACACACCUAAAGCAUAUGGAAGUUCCCAGGCCAGGGGUCGAAUCGGAGCUACAGCCACUGACCUACACUAUAGCCACUGGAACACAGGAUCCAAGCCAUGUCUGUGACCUACACCACAGCUCACAGCAACGCUGGAUCCUCAGCCCACUGAGUGAGGCCAGGGAUCACAUCCUUAUGGAUCCUAGUCGGGUUCUUUUAACCACGAGCCACAAAGGGAACUCCCUCCUCUUUUCUGAUAUGCUUCUUCAAAUAUUUUGCCCCUUUUUAUUUCAGAUUAUCUUUUUUUUAGUUAAUUUAAAUGAGUAUAAUAUACAUUCUAAAUACUAACCCUUUGUUAAUGAUAUGUUUUGAAAAAAUAUCUCACCUUGUAAUUUGUCUUUAUUCUUUUUGACUUUUGCUAAAUCAAAAUUUAUCAGUAAACAUAUUUCAGUUAUACCUACAGUUGAAUUUAAUAUAGUUGAUUUAUAGUUUUUUCCUUUAUAAUAAGUGCUUUCUGUGUUUUAAGAAAUCCACUCCUUAUAAAGAUGAUAAAGAUAUAUUCUUACUUUAUCUUCUAAAUUUGUUUAGAAAUUUUCUUUUCACAUUAUGGACUUCCCAUUGCGGCUCAGUGGAAAUGAAUCUGACUAGCAUCAUGAGGAUGCAGGUUUGAUUCCUGGCCUUGCUCAGUGGGUUAAGGAUCCAGCAUUGCUGUGAGUGUGGUGUAGGUCACAGAUGUGGCUUGAAUCUGGUGUUGCUGUGGCUGUGGCUGUGGUGCAGGCAGGUGGCUGCAGCUCCGAUUCAACCCCUA